UACAGAGGUGGCAAGCGUUGUUCGGAAUUACUGGGCGUAAAGCGCGCGUAGGUGGUUUGUUAAGUUGGAUGUGAAAUCCCCGGGCUCAACCUGGGAACUGCAUUCAAAACUGACAAGCUAGAGUAUGGUAGAGGGUGGUGGAAUUUCCUGUGUAGCGGUGAAAUGCGUAGAUAUAGGAAGGAACACCAGUGGCGAAGGCGACCACCUGGACUGAUACUGACACUGAGGUGCGAAAGCCAGGGGAGCAAACGGG
rnacentral:rRNA from 1 species